UGUGCCAGCCGCCGCGGUAAUACGUAGGGUCCAAGCGUUAAUCGGAAUUACUGGGCGUAAAGCGUGCGCAGGCGGUUGUGCAAGACCGAUGUGAAAUCCCCGAGCUUAACUUGGGAAUUGCAUUGGUGACUGCACGGCUAGAGUGUGUCAGAGGGGGGUAGAAUUCCACGUGUAGCAGUGAAAUGCGUAGAGAUGUGGAGGAAUACCGAUGGCGAAGGCAGCCCCCUGGGAUAACACUGACGCUCAUGCGCGAAAGCGUGGGGAGCAAACAGGAUUAGAUACCCCAGUAGUCC
rnacentral:rRNA from 1 species